UACGAAGGGGGCUAGCGUUGCUCGGAAUCACUGGGCGUAAAGGGUGCGUAGGCGGGUCUUUAAGUUAGGGGUGAAAUCCUGGAGCUCAACUCCAGAACUGCCUUUGAUACUGAAGAUCUUGAGUUCGGGAGAGGUGAGUGGAACUGCGAGUGUAGAGGUGAAAUUCGUAGAUAUUCGCAAGAACACCAGUGGCGAAGGCGGCUCACUGGCCCGAUACUGACGCUGAUGCACGAAAGCGUGGGGAGCAAACAGG
rnacentral:rRNA from 1 species